GGGAAGUUGGCUCAGUGGUAGAGUUCUUGCCUGCAUGCAUGAGGUCCUGAGUUCAAUUCUUCACUACCUU
rnacentral:tRNA from 1 species